rnacentral:rRNA from 2 species
UGAUUUACAUUUGAGUGAGUGGCGAACUGGUGAGUAACACGUGGGAAACCUGCCCAGAAGCGGGGGAUAACACCUGGAAACAGAUGCUAAUACCGCAUAACAACUUGGACCGCAUGGUCCGAGCUUGAAAGAUGGCUUCGGCUAUCACUUUUGGAUGGUCCCGCGGCGUAUUAGCUAGAUGGUGGGGUAACGGCUCACCAUGGCAAUGAUACGUAGCCGACCUGAGAGGGUAAUCGGCCACAUUGGGACUGAGACACGGCCCAAACUCCUACGGGAGGCAGCAGUAGGGAAUCUUCCACAAUGGACGAAAGUCUGAUGGAGCAACGCCGCGUGAGUGAAGAAGGGUUUCGGCUCGUAAAACUCUGUUGUUAAAGAAGAACAUAUCUGAGAGUAACUGUUCAGGUAUUGACGGUAUUUAACCAGAAAGCCACGGCUAACUACGUGCCAGCAGCCGCGGUAAUACGUAGGUGGCAAGCGUUGUCCGGAUUUAUUGGGCGUAAAGCGAGCGCAGGCGGUUUUUUAAGUCUGAUGUGAAAGCCUUCGGCUCAACCGAAGAAGUGCAUCGGAAACUGGAAAACUUGAGUGCAGAAGAGGACAGUGGAACUCCAUGUGUAGCGGUGAAAUGCGUAGAUAUAUGGAAGAACACCAGUGGCGAAGGCGGCUGUCUGGUCUGU